CUGACCCGCUGGAAACGCAUCUGUCCCAGGUGCCCGCCGCUCCCACCUUAUGGCGGUUUCUCUGCGCUUUCAUCUCCAGGUUUUAUUCAAGAGGGCCCCCACACUCCCAGGUUGCUCUUCCAUGAGUGCAAGGACACAGUGUGGGGCACCGAGCUCAAGACGGCCCCUGGACCUGGAUGCCGGCAAACAGACCCAGGACAAGACCAGAAAACUUGAUUUGUUUACGUGAUGGAAUGACUGCUCCAAG